CGCGGCUCGGAGCCGGGUCGUCGCUAUAGCAAUCGGGAACCGCUACCUGUCCGUUCCAAGGAUUCGGUCCACCAGAAGCGUGAGGAGGUGGCGGAGGCCUCGAGGGCUUUGCGCCAUCACUUCUGCGGCCUGCGGGCGAGAAGACGCUGAGCACAGUGCCAAACCUAUGUAGAAACUCAUUUGGGAUAUGGAGGAGAAUAUGCCACCAGUUCUCCAAAGUGGAGGGGUGAAGCCAUGCCUCCCUUUCCCUCAACUGUGUAAACUGGGUAUGAGGACAGAGGACACCAGGAAAGAAGCCAGAGCAAGAGGAACAGUGAUGAAGGUAAGGAUGGAGAUUGGUCACAUUGGUUGGACAGGUAACUGGGGGUCGCAGCUGGUUGCAACGAGCAGCCAGGGAAUGUAGGAACCUGGGAAGUGGCUCUGGGUGCAGGCAGAGCUAUGGCCAUGGUGCUGAGGUUGGAGGGGCAGGGUGGGGAAAGGCAGCUGAGCCUCAACUCCUUGUGGAGCAGGGACCAUUUCUGUGGACAGGCCACCGCCCCGUCCUUCCUCCCCUCCCUCUGUGCCUGGGCUUGCUGCCAUAUUCCCUAGCCUUUCUCCUAUUUUGGUUUAACAAAACAAAGUCUGACAACUUGGCGGGGAGGGAUCUGGGGAGAGCUGCCAGGCCACACCCUAGAUGGUGGGGGUGGGGGGCAGGGAGAACAGUAGGCUCUCACCCCCAAAUCACCACCCCUAGGUUCUAGAGCCAAGCUCACCGUGGGGCCCCCAAUUCAACACCUUGACUCCAUCUCUAUGCUAGCUACUGCCCUCCCAAGUCCAUGGCCCUUCUCAGUUUGCCUUGGCCCAGGAGGCAUCACGUAGAUUGGUUUUCAAAUGGAGCAGCUAGAAUCUGGGCUCCUGAGGACUUCAUCUGCCCCUCUCUUCCCAUCCUCUCUGCUGAGAUCCUGCAACCUUCUCUUCCCCUUCUGGCCAGGGCAGAGAGGCCCAGAUCCAGCUGGCUCCUGCCUGAGAGAUACACCUGUUGGAAGAGCUAAGGUGUACUUUCCUGUGCUUUGCUCCUGUCUCUACCCUAUCUUUUGCCAUUCUCUUGACUUCUCCCCAUCCCUGUCUUCCUGCUCUUGCCACAUUCUACAUGCCAUCCUUCUGUCUGCUCCCUUACUAUCUAACCUUGUGGCUUUGCUACUCUAGCUAAGCUCUUUCCUCCAAUUCUCAUUGGGGAAGCUAAGGCCCAGAGCAUGGACAACUUUCUCAAAAUUCCCCUAAGAGCCAAAGGUAGUAUUGAGACUUUGAACCCUAACCCUAGGUAAUCUGUGUUCCUUGACCCUUUCUAUACCUAAUCAUUCUCUUGUGCCUCUGGUUGGUUCUCCCCAAAACACUUACAGGGAAAUGGGAUAUGGUGAGAAUCAGGGGCCUAGAAAAGUAAAAGGCAGCCAAAGAACUCAAAAGCUUAUGUUCAUGUCCUGUAGGCAACUCACUGUCCUGGUCUAAGUGCCACAGCUUCCCUUCCCCAAGGAGUUCCAUAAGAGGCCCUCAAGGGUGACUGGGCAGAUAUGAGGCCCUUCCCUGGAAGCUAAAAUGGUAGGAGAGGUGACCAGGGCUGGGAUUAAGGGCCCAGCAGAUAUCAGGGUUUGGAGGCCUGGGUUGGGUGUAGAAACCUAUAGCCUGGGUCCAGUGAUGGGUUAUGACUAGGUUUGGAGGCAGCUCUGCAGUAAGGAGGCUCUUCUCAGCCAAUAGGACUUCAGAGAAUUCAUCUGUUUGGUCAAUUGGUAGGUGGGGACUAGCCCAGCCUGCUUUUCUGGGCAUCAUUCCUUUUUUUUCUCUUCCUUUCCUGGUCCUUUAUGCUUCUAGUGCCUGUUUUCUGUUGUGGCUUCAGGGUGAAGGAAUUUGGGAGAAGGCCCUGGGUUCAAAUUUUAAAUCCUUUUCUGCUAUGAGCUUCAGAUUUUCUACUUGGGGAAGAGUCUGACUUGGUCCCAGUAAUUUUCCAAAAUGACAGAGACCAAAGUUGAGUUCAGUUCCUUAGAGCUUCUCUUAUCUCUGAUCCAGCUCCUGGGACAAAGGAGAUCAGUGAGGAGAGGGUGAGACUGGAGAUUGCAGGAAGAACUGGGAGAAAACAAGCCUGUAAGGGUCAGAGGCUCCCUGGGGCAUAGGGAUGCACUGUCAUCAUCAUCAAAAACAUUCUUCCCAUUACUGAGCUCCUAUCAUGUGCUAAGGAUUGUACAGGGCUCUUUUCAUAUGUUGUCUUGUGGUGAUCCGCACAGCAGCCUUCAAGUGGGUUAUUACCACCCCAUUCUAUUUUAUUGUUAUUUUUUGAGAUAGGAUUGCUUGGUCUGGAGUGCAGUGACACAGUCACAGCUAACUGCAGCCUCGACUUCCUGGGCUCAAGCCAAGGAAGAGCUCCCAAGUAGCUGGGACUACAGGUAUGCACCAUCACGACUGACUAAUUUUUAUUAUUAUUAUUUUUUGUAGAGACAUGGUCUCACUAUGUUGCCCAGGCCUGUCUUGAACUCCUGGGCUCGAGCAGUCCCUCUACCUUGGCCUCCCAAAGUGCUGGGAUUAUAGGUGUGAGCUACCACACCUGGUCCCACCUCCAUUUUAGAGAGGAGAAAGCUGAGAUUUCUAGAGAUUGGCUGAUUUGCCCAAGACCCAAGGCUAGUAAGCAGCAGAACCAAGAUAUCUGUGUGGAGCCAAAUCAGCUUCCUACCAUGCCUCACCACUGGCUAAACCCACUAUUCCCAUCUCCUGGCCCUUGCCCUAGGAGCAUUUCAUAGCAGCUUCUCCUCUAAUGUUUUUCAUCCAGCAGGAUUUUUCAUCCGAAGUGGCCAGUCUCAAAGGGGAGGAUGACUUUAUUCUCUUGUGAAUGUAGCUCUUUUUGAUCACUCUCUCCUCCUUCCCUGGGAAAUAGGAAAUGCUGAAAAGAUCUCUUUCUCCACAAGACAUCCCUCCACCAAAUCCCCACUCCUUUGCUUACCCAAACAGUUGUGUCCAUCAUGUGCCAGGUGGAAU